rnacentral:rRNA from 2 species
GCAGUCGAACGAACUCUGGUAUUGAUUGGUGCUUGCAUCAUGAUUUACAUUUGAGUGAGUGGCGAACUGGUGAGUAACACGUGGGAAACCUGCCCAGAAGCGGGGGAUAACACCUGGAAACAGAUGCUAAUACCGCAUAACAACUUGGACCGCAUGGUCCGAGUUUGAAAGAUGGCUUCGGCUAUCACUUUUGGAUGGUCCCGCGGCGUAUUAGCUAGAUGGUGGGGUAACGGCUCACCAUGGCAAUGAUACGUAGCCGACCUGAGAGGGUAAUCGGCCACAUUGGGACUGAGACACGGCCCAAACUCCUACGGGAGGCAGCAGUAGGGAAUCUUCCACAAUGGACGAAAGUCUGAUGGAGCAACGCCGCGUGAGUGAAGAAGGGUUUCGGCUCGUAAAACUCUGUUGUUAAAGAAGAACAUAUCUGAGAGUAACUGUUCAGGUAUUGACGGUAUUUAACCAGAAAGCCACGGCUAACUACGUGCCAGCAGCCGCGGUAAUACGUAGGUGGCAAGCGUUGUCCGGAUUUAUUGGGCGUAAAGCGAGCGCAGGCGGUUUUUUAAGUCUGAUGUGAAAGCCUUCGGCUCAACCGAAGAAGUGCAUCGGAAACUGGGAAACUUGAGUGCAGAAGAGGACAGUGGAACUCCAUGUGUAGCGGUGAAAUGCGUAGAUAUAUGGAAGAACACCAGUGGCGAAGGCGGCUGUCUGGUCUGUAACUGACGCUGAGGCUCGAAAGUAUGGGUAGCAAACAGGAUUAGAUACCCUGGUAGUCCAUACCGUAAACGAUGAAUGCUAAGUGUUGGAGGGUUUCCGCCCUUCAGUGCUGCAGCUAACGCAUUAAGCAUUCCGCCUGGGGAGUACGGCCGCAAGGCUGAAACUCAAAGGAAUUGACGGGGGCCCGCACAAGCGGUGGAGCAUGUGGUUUAAUUCGAAGCUACGCGAAGAACCUUACCAGGUCUUGACAUACUAUGCAAAUCUAAGAGAUUAGACGUUCCCUUCGGGGACAUGGAUACAGGUGGUGCAUGGUUGUCGUCAGCUCGUGUCGUGAGAUGUUGGGUUAAGUCCCGCAACGAGCGCAACCCUUAUUAUCAGUUGCCAGCAUUAAGUUGGGCACUCUGGUGAGACUGCCGGUGACAAACCGGAGGAAGGUGGGGAUGACGUCAAAUCAUCAUGCCCCUUAUGACCUGGGCUACACACGUGCUACAAUGGAUGGUACAACGAGUUGCGAACUCGCGAGAGUAAGCUAAUCUCUUAAAGCCAUUCUCAGUUCGGAUUGUAGGCUGCAACUCGCCUACAUGAAGUCGGAAUCGCUAGUAAUCGCGGAUCAGCAUGCCGCGGUGAAUACGUUCCCGGGCCUUGUACACACCGCCCGUCACACCAUGAGAGUUUGUAACACCCAAAGUCGGUGGG